rnacentral:lncRNA from 1 species
ACAAAAUUCCCAACACCCCUCCCCCCCGCUCCCCCCAACACUUCAGUCUAUAUAGCACAUAUGAUUCACGGUAAGCAAAACAGAGAAAAAGGUCUUAGCUUUUAGAACCCAUCUCUUUUGUGUCACAUCUCGAUUUUUCUCUACAUGCAAACAUUUCUCAUUUACUUGAUGUUGUUUUAAUCAGCAUUUUUAGUGUACCUUUCGAUGCUAUGAUAAAAUACCUUUGAUCUAGCAACUCAUUAUAGUCCGAUUGGUAUGAAACAAAAGCAUCGAUUUGCAAUAAGGAAAAGGAAAAUAGACAUUUAUUCUUAUCUCUUUCUAUCUUUUAUAGGACCAUAAUAUUGAUUAAAAAGAAGAUGAGAAUAGAUCUAUAAUCUAUAAUCUAAUUUAGAUAAAUUAGAUUAUAGAUUAUUAGGAGAGAGCAAGAGUCUAGAUAAAUAAUUAGGAGAGUUUUUUCCAUCAACAUCAUAUCAUAAGGAAUCCUAAUAUAACUAUCAUAUCCUAAGGAAUCCUAAUAUAAGUUUCGUUCUAUUAGAACUUUAAUAUCUCUUGACUAAUUAAAUAAAGGUCGUAUAAUCUCAUAUUUUUUCAGUUGGCCUAUUAACUAAUAAGAUAUAAAACAAAAUGGUUCAAAAUCAAAAUUAAUAAAAUAAAAUUUAUUUAAAAAUAAUUUUACCAAAUUAGAUUCUGAAAUUUUGAAAAAUAUUACAUACGUAUAUACGAACUUUAUAAAACAUACCAAUAAAUCCAAUAAAAAUAAUAAUAUCACAUUAAAUCUAGUUAUCAAUUGAAGUCAUAGUGGUUAUAUAUUAUCAAUAUCAUAAUCUCUUUUCUGUAUCACAAUACUAUUAGUCUUUCUUAAUACAAUCUAUAAUAUUUUUAUUAACUUAUCUUGUCAAUAUAAUCUUAUUAUUAUAUUCAACCAUAAUAUGCAUAUAAAUAAAUAUAAAUAGGAUAACAAAAAUAAAUAACUUUAAGUAAGCAAAAAAAUAUUAAUAAUAAUGUUCACUUAAGUAUCAUCAUAUAUUUUUUGUAUUACUUACAAACCUUAUUAUAAGAACAUGCUCUUUAAUCUUAUAUUGUAAAGCUAUACUAAAUGGGUUAACAUAUCGUUUUAUUUUUUCUACAAAAUAUCUUGAUUGUUUAUUUUUUCUGUAAAAUCUGCAUGUUAUUUAUUUCUGCUACAUCUUUUGUUUAAUAGAAAUAUGUCGCUUUCAAAUCCCUUACGUAACAUACUUGAUGUUAACUGUCUCACUGGUCCAAACUACAUCGAUCAACUUCGUAACUUGAGAAUCAUUCUCAUGGUAAAAAAAAUUGUAUAUGUCAUUGACAUAGUGAUGUCCACACCCGAGGAAGGGCAAGUGAGGAUAAAACUACUUACUACGUGAAGUACUUAAAUGACUUCACUCUUACUCAGUGUUAUAUGCUGGGCUCUAUGACUCCUAGGUUAUAAAGACAGUAUGAAAAGAUGGAUGUUAGAUAUAUUCUCCUACAUUUUCGCAAAUUGGUUGAGGAACAUUGAAAAACUCAAUGAUAUGAAAUAUUCAAGAGUCUCUUCCGCGCUAGGAUGACUGAGGGAACACUAGUUCAAAAUUAUGUCCUUAAAAUAAUUAAGUGGAUAGAGAAGCUCAUAGGUCUAGAAAUGGUUCUAAAGGAUAACUUGUGUGUGGAUCUUGUGCUUUAAUCACUAUCAAACUUUUUUUCUCAGUUUAUUAUGAAUUUUAAUAUGAAUAAGCUUGAAGUGACUCUCCCUGAGCUCUUCAAUAUGUUGAGGGAGGUUAAGAGUACUAUCAAGAAAAAAAAGUUAGUUCUCUACAUUGGUGAGACAAAAAAGAAAACGAAAGCAGAGAAGUCCCUUAAGAAGGGCAAGGGCAAACCGGGCAAAACAAAGGUUGUUAAAAAGGACCUGACAAAAGAUAAAUGUCAGUGCUUCUACUACGGUAAAGAUGAGUACUAGAAGAGGAACUACAAAGAGUACCUUAUAGAUAAGACGAAAUAGAAGCUUGGAAAAGUCUUAGGAUAGUAUUAGAUACCAAUUUAUCAUAUUCUUAUAUGACAAAUGAGUAUUAGAUACUGAUAGUGUUUAUCAAAUCUGUACUUCAUUGCAGGUUCUAACAAAUCCUAUGAGAUUGACAAAAGGCGAGAUGAAUCUAAAGAUGACAAUGGAGCAAAAGUUGUAGUAGUUAUUGACGAGGUCAUCCUACAUCUAUCUAGUUAAGCUACUAUUGCAUUGGAUGCAUAUUAUUUUAUUUCUUCUAUUAUCAAAAAUAUUAUUUCUAUUUCAUGUUUGACAGUUAGUGGAUAAAAUUAAUUUUUAAAAAUAAUAAUUAUUCAAUAAUAUUACAUGAUAAGAUCAUCACUAUAGGAACAUUACAUAAUAGUUCAUUUGUGCUAGACAUUAUCCCACAUAUCAUGAAUAUAAAUGUAUCCAAGAAGAACGAAAUAAAUAGUGUGUACCUAUUACAUUGUACGAUGGGUCACAUCCAUAAAUUACUAAAAAUUACUAAAGAAUAGAUCCAUUCGACAUUGAGUUAUUUUUAACUUAUGAUCAUUACAAAAUACAAUAAUUUGCCUAACAAAAUAUUACAAUAGUUACAUGUAGAUAUGACAAAUCCCUCUUACAAUUGAUUAAGGUAGUUACAACAAAUCGAAUGCUAUCAUAGCUUGCAUGACUCAAAAAUCAAAUAAAAAAUAACACUGUAGUAAUUUUUAAAAUGUUUCAUAAUUAUUUUUUAUAAAAUUUAUUUUAGGGAAGCAUAUUGAUAACUUAAAAUUUAUAAUUAAAUAAAAAAAAUUAAUUUAAAAAUUUUAUAUAAGAUAUGAGUCGUUGUCGUGGUUAAAGUUAACAUAGUAAGUUGAUCCUCCGUAAAUGGAGAGCUAAUAUAAUGUUUUCAAAUGUUAAUGUAAUGCUUUAGAAACAAUAAGAAAAUGGAAAGACGAGGUAGAGUCAGAAAAGAUAGAGAAAUUUAGAGUUUUAAAAGAUUAUAAGUUCUUAUGAUUAACAAGAGUUUAUAGUUUAGAAGAAGUGUCUAUAUUUUUCUCGUUGAUAUAGUUGCAGGUAGCAAAAGUAUUUGCAUACAUUCGAGCAAUGCGGAAACUACCCGACAACUUCAUUUAUUGCAUUAAGGAAACAAAUGGAGGUUAUCAAACACAUAUUUAUUGCAUUAAGCAAACAAAUGGAGAUUACCAAACAUAUAUUUAUUGCAUUAAGAAAAUACAAACUAGCAGAGCCAUCGGUGCGGUUAUUGAUAAGACUGCAGACACUACAGCCAACACACCAAGAGUGCAUGAGACUGCUAGUUAGGUGGCCAAAAUUGAAAACGGCCUCCUCUUAAGGCAUUGCACAUUUUAUGCAAAUCUCAUUUCUUAAGCUUAUCAUUGUCCAAAGAAAGUCUUGACCACGAAAAGAAUAACAAUAAUACAACUCCUGCCCACUAUUUCUCUUCCAUGUAUAAAUAAUUCCCAACCGUGUUAAAGCUGCUCAUAUGAACGGAAACGCAAAUUAGUUUCUUAAUUAAGGCAAAGGAAGCAGCAACUAAUCAUAAUUUUAGUAUCACAAGCGCAAUUAGGAAAAAGAUCAAAUAGUAACUUCUUUUCAUCAAAAUCGUACAAAUAAUUAUCCCAUCUUUUCAUACAAUUUUAUAACAAUAUUCUUUUUCAGCAAGAAAUGGGAUUUCAUGCCAACUGAUACGGGUGGCAUAGAGGAGAUGUUGCCGCAUGAGAUUGAACAGGACACAAUGUAGCAUUUUAAUUGUCUUCCAACUGUCAUGUGGAUCUGCAACUUAAAUUAUAAGUGAGCCACACAAGGCUUACAAUUCCUGGGAAAAUAAAUGGAAUA